UACGAUGGAGACAAGUGUUAGUCAUCUUUAUUAGGUAUAAAGGGUACCUAGACGGUAAAUAAUAGCCCCGUUUAUAUUGAAAGGGUACUUUUUUUACUAGAGUUAUAUGGGAGAGGUAAAUAUUAGAACUAUAGGAGUAGUGAUAAAAUACUUUUGAUACUUAUGGGGACUGGAAAAGGCGAAAAGCAAACCUUUAUCUUUUGUAUAGUUAGUGUUACUAACUUAAA
rnacentral:rRNA from 1 species